UACGUAGGUGGCAAGCGUUAUCCGGAUUUACUGGGUGUAAAGGGUGUGUAGGCGGGGAAGCAAGUCAGAUGUGAAAACCACGGGCUCAACCUGUGGCCUGCAUUUGAAACUGUUUUUCUUGAGUGCUGGAGAGGCAAUCGGAAUUCCGUGUGUAGCGGUGAAAUGCGUAGAUAUACGAAGGAACACCAGUGGCGAAGGCGGAUUGCUGGACAGUAACUGACGCUGAGGCGCGAAAGCGUGGGGAGCAAACAGG
rnacentral:rRNA from 1 species